GGCUUAGGGUUUUGAGGAUGUUGGAGAAGUUGUUGCUGGACAUAUCAAAGGCCCUUUUGAGAGUGGACAUGAGAUGGGGAGGGAGGCCAUUGGUGGUAUGGUAGUGAGGUGGGAGUUCAGGCAAGUCAUCAUGUGGAAGAUGGAGUUCCACAAAUUCAAUGCAAUGAGAAUAUUUUUGGGAGAGUUUAGGCUUGAUGGAGCUGAGAUUUACAGGCGUGGAACAAAUAAAGAUGUGAAAAUUUCUCUUGGUGGUCAGCUUCUUGGCUAGCUCUAGGUAGGGAGAUAUAUGGCCGUGAGCUAGCCAUGGAAGCAUAAGAAUAGUAAGUUUUCUUUGGUCAGAGUAAACCAUAUUUUGUUUUCCUUUCACUCUUUUGCUUGAGGUUGCUCGAUUAUAGGCUUAUUGGUAGUUUUUUUGUAGCUAGCUCUAUGCAUAUAUAUAUAUAUAUACACACACAUUCAUGGGAAAAGAGGCUUGGGGAUGGGAAAUCAAUUGAUUUCCUAUGUUUGGUAAAGUUCGGGUAUGAGAAAUCGUUGCUUUGCACAUGAGAAAGUAGAGGGGAAAGUGAAGCCCUCCUCCUUCCUUAGGUUUUGUUUUCCUCCUCAUGGGAAAGUUUGGGAAAAUGAGCUAAUAUUAAAUACAUAUUUUUCAUGACCAUAUUAUCCCCAUUAAUAAUUUAGAAUUACAUAAAUGCAUUCUAUUUUUAUUUGAUUUCAUAUGGGUAUAAUUGAAAAAUUAAACAAAUUUUGUUUUACAUUCCUACACAAACCAAACAUGUGAAAGGAAAUAAAGUGGUAUUUCUUGGUUACUUUCCCAAGAUUACCAAACAUAGGAAAGGAAUCUCUAUUUCCCAUCCCUUAGAAAAUGACUUGGAAAGUAAUUUCUCCUCAAAUUCGUUCCGUGAACCAAACGGAACCUGCAUAAUAGAAGUUCCAAAAAAACACGUGAUGAUUGGAUCAUGCAUAUGUAAGUUCCCGAGUGAUGAUUGGAACAAGUUCCUAAUGAUAAAGACUCGAAACAAGAAUAGUUUAAACUUUCUUCUUUGUUUGGCUUGAUAUAAGACGAAUGCACCAAACAAACCGACUAAUUGCUGGCACAAUAUAAAUUGGGGCUACAAUUACCUAAUAAUUAGGUACUAAGGGCUACAAUUACCUAAUAAUAUCAACUUUCAUUAUACAGAUUUGAGAAACAAAAAGUUCAACUUUGAUGACAAGCGAUAUUAAAGGAGGGCGUAAUCAAACUUAGGAUCUUGAGUGUAGAAAUAAAUACUUUUAACAACUUGAGCUACAAGCCUUUUGUAAUAUUAAUGAUAUUUUAAUUAUACGUUUGAAUAGUUCGCUUCCUUCUCUUUUAUUUUCAUUUGUUUAUAUUUAACUCUAAUUUUAUUUAUAUUUUUGGUCAAGGUAAAAAGACUUUGAAUCUCUCUCCAAUGAUUUUCACAGCCGAAACUCCUUUAGUUUCCACAAAUAUUUUUUAAUAUUUCAUGCAUUUGUAAGUUUCCGACUCGGAUGGUUCAUGUAACCAAGAAGUUUAAACUUGUUUUUGCUUGUUCCGCCGACGAAAGCGCAACAAAAGGACAAACUACAACCAAUACUUCUAGUAUCACCAGUUCUCAUUGAAUUUGUUGCCGUGAAUGUUUAGGAUUCUGCCCAAACUAGUAUUUGCGUUUCUGAAUUGUUUGAAAACACAUAUGAAAUUAUGAUUUCUCCUCCCCAGAAGACAAAUUGACGAAGAAGUAUCAUGAUUUUGAUGACACAAAUUAGAAUCCAGGGUUUUCGAAGUGCCUAAUGGACAACUAUUAAUUUAGAAAUAUAUAUAUUUUUUUCGCAAUGCAGAAACACAUAAAUCCCAAGUUUGAAUUCAUCCUAUUUUUGUUUUUGUUUUUUCCUUUUUUAACCCAGAAGAAAAAUUGAGUGCCACUCUGCUAUGUAGAAUGCAAGUUUUAGUUUAGAUUUUUUUUUCUUUUUAGUCUCUUAUUCUACAUUUAGAUCUCAUAUAUUUACUCGCAUUUUAUUAAAUCUAAGUCAUUCAAACAAUCUGACCACUUAACAAAUUACAAGUACUCAAACUUAAAAUCAGAUUGGAUGGACAUGAGGCUUACACUGAUGAUUCUACACGUGCUGAGAAUAGUCCUUUUAUUUCUUUAUUAUUUUCUUGGUCGGGACUCGAGAGACAGGUGUAGUGUAGCGAUGGAGACGAGGCCCGCAAGACAUAAAAGUCUGAAGAAGAGAAGCGUGAAAGCUUCAUUUAGACAGUUAAGUGCAUACGUAACGUAAAGAUUCAAAGACUAUGUCCCUCUCCAAACAGGGAAAGAUCUGAGUUGAAAGCAACAAACUACAGUCACAAUAGGAAAGCAUCUACAACGUAAAGAAAAUAAGUUUACCAGAAGCAUCGGAAAGAUCUAGAGUCUGAAGAAGAGAUACUGAAGUAAUUGUUCAUCGACUGAGCUUAAAUGAAAUAUUAACUCUUUGUUGUGCCAUAAGCACAAGAUCUUAAGAAAAAAAUUCAAGAUAAACCAUAUAAUAUUUUCUAACCCACAAAAUAAUAUAGAAAAUAAAUGCAAGAACAAGAGAAUAGCAAGACACAACGAGGCUGCUUACAAUCAGUGUAAAUGAGCAAACAAAUUCACCAUCAACAAAUUAGCAUGCUUAUGAAGUGUUUUGCAACCUCACAAACCAAGGCGCCAUAUACACCAAAUGACUCUCACUGAAAAACUAAACAAAGAAACACACUCACACUAAUGAAAGCAACGUUACAAGGUAGGAGAUUGAAUAUUACAUUUACAAUACACUCAUAAGUUACAAAAACUAAUUACAAAUAUUUAGCGCAUAGGUUACAUAGAACUGAAAGGGUGGAAUGAUAAGAGCUAUGGUGGUCAUCCACCAACUCAUGCAUUUACAACACCGCCUCUUGAAUGUCCACCAUACAAUACAAUGAUAUAGUUGCGUCAUUAAACACUUUGCUUGAAAAACUAUAUGGGACAAAACUUAGGCUACGGGAAAAAGAGUGCAACACAAAUAAUAUUGAUAUCACAUUUGUCUCUCCUACGGAAUGAGCUUUGGUGAUGUUUGUAUAAAAAUUGCGUACAAACCAUUAUUGGAAGAUUGGGCUAGAGUGGGCUUUACCCUAGUGUUGACUUUGGAAAGAGACAAAUUAGGCUUAGUUGUGUAAAUUCAAUCCAAAAAAAAAUUAAAUAAUAGCCCACAUCUACAGCCAAAUACUUUAAUACUUUAAUUACUAAAGUUUUUUUUUCUUUCUCUCUCUUCUUUGGUUUAUUCAGCUUUUGAUUUGGCUCAAAUAAUGUUUAUAUCUCUCUUUGAUUUUGUUUUUUCAAAUUUAUUGAUGUUGCUUCUUUUGAAAAUUUUGAAAUAUGGACCCUCCCUAACUAAACCACUCCAUUGAGCAAAAGCCCUUGAGCUUCAAAUUUAUCUUCGUCUGAGCCUCUGAAUUUUGGUUUUUUUUAGGUUUUUUUUGUUUGUUGUAGGUUUCUUUGUUCACAUAUCUCUCUAAAAAUAGUAUUUUUCUUAAUGAAUUCUGAAAAUAGUUUUUAAUUUGAAGGAAAUAUACGGAAUUAGUAAAAAAGUAUACCACUUUCAUUAAUCUGAAGGAAAUAUUGCUUUAUAUAUAUUUGUUUAAAAAUAGGGCUUAUAAUUGAUCUCAAAAAAAAAAAAAAAACAAAUAGCCCACCCCUGUAAAUAUUCCUUAGUCCGCCAUUGCAUGGCAUAAUAUUUGGUAUGCUAUGCUAGCAUCUCAUAAGCUCUUCAAGAGACCUGAAUUUUAUGAUAACUUCUUAAAAAAUUUGAAUACAUUUCAACGAUAUUAAACUUGAAUUUGAACUCAUAAUUCAAUCAAAGUACUCAUUGAGGCAAUUUAGAUCAUUUUCAUUUUAAAAAAAUUGGGUGCACACAUUGAGCUUCAUGCUCUUUACCUUCUUAGAGAUUUUAUUUGAGGAAUUUAUAUUGCAUCACAUAUUACAUCUCUUAGGAUUUGUUCUUAUUAUGUAUUCUUUAAGAGAUCUAUUCUUGCAAUAUGCUUCAAACACUUCAUAAUCUUUAUGAAUUUUUCAUGUAGAUUUAAGGUCUCCAUGAAUAUUGAGAUUGAAACAAGGAGUAAAAGAGUUAAAAGUUUAAGAAAUUUUUUCCCUGAUUAUUUUGUAAUUAUAAUGUUGGUGAAAAUCCAAUUUCCUUUCUAGAAUUUGUGAAAUUUGUUAUUUGGCUAAGCUAAAAGUAUAAUUUUGACAAUAAAAAGCAUAUGAAAGUUUCUCUUUGGUUGGCUUCUUGGCUAGCUCUAGGAACGGACAGUGUGGCCAUGAGAUAACCAUGGAAGUAUAAUAAGAAUGCUUGGAUGCUGUGAACAAUCCAUUUUCUGACUCUUUUUCUUGAGGUGGUUGUUUUCUUAUGGCCCAUCAGAGUUUAUGGUCGACAGAUAAGCUUCAAACACAUGCAUUGGUCGUGUCAGUUGCGAUAAACUCUUCCCAACAAUCAACAAUUUCUAAGGUAAUAUCAUCAUUCAAUCAUGUGCUGAAUUUAGAAUUGUUUUCAAAUCAAGGAUUUGUUUUGGAACUCAGAUUUUAAAACAAUUAAAAUUUAAUUGGGAAGACUUUUUGUUUAAAGGAAGUUCGUUUCAAUUCAAAAAAUAAUUUUUCAGUUUUUCAACUCAAAAGUCUUCUCAGUUUUCUUAUUUUUCUUAUUGGCGAGUUUCUUGGUUAACUCUAGGAAGGGAGAUAUGUGGCCAUGAGCUAACCAUGGAAGCAUAAGAACGCUGACCAUGCUUGGAUUUUGAGAAGACUUCCUCUUUUUUUUUUCCCUGACUCUUCUUCUUGAGGCGGUGGUUGGCUUAUGGCCUCAUAAUAGUUUGGUGUUUUUGGAGAUCAUAUGGUGAUGAUCUGAUGGAGAUGAGUCAUAGUUUGUGCUAGUGCAUACGUAAUUCCAAUUUCCUGAUUCAGAUGGGAUAAACUCUUCCAACAAAUUAAGACUCUUAUCAUGCAUACACAUAAGAAGUGGAAAUUUGCUUCUGUCUUAGUUUGGCCUUGAUAUAGGACAGCUCAUAGGAAAGCAUCCAAAACAAUAUUCUUUUUAUUUUUUUUAUUUGAAUACAAGCGAUAUUAGGAGUGUGGGGAUUUGAACACAUGAUUUAGGGUACAGGGUAAUGCUCUUAACUAUAUGAGUUACAAGUCCCUUGCAAACAGUCUGAAAUACUAAAAAUAAAAAAUAGAUGCUCAUCCAUAUGCACUGUCAUGCCCCAACCCUUGGAUUUACAAAACCUUGUGUUAAGACGUGAUUCACACCUUAAUUAUAGAAUUUAAUAAAAACUAUAACUAAAAUGUGAAGAAAACAUUUAAAUAAAUAAAAUAAAUAUUUCACAUAGAAUAUUCAGUGGAAAUGACAACAUGUGAAAUCUUAAAAAUUUUACAUUAUCUUACAAGUUGGCGUGACUUGUGGAUAUUGACUUACUUUCCUUACACACCAAGAAUUCCUAUUAUAAUUGUAAUUGAUUUACUUUAAUUCAUGAUUUCCUACUGUAAAUAGAUUUAAGAAUUUAUUAUUUACUUGCCCAUUCAGGUUUCGUUGUAUUAUAAAUAUGACCUCCUACAAGGAGAAGAACAUACAGAAAAUUCCCACAAACAAAUAUUCUCUCAUAGUUUUCAUAUUUUAGCAUGGUAUCAGAGCGGCAAUCUUGGAAUUGCUGACUCUAGUUUCAAACCCCCGCCGCCGCUAUGGGGGUUGAUGAUUUUUUCAACCAUCAUGGAGGUAGCACCAUCGACUCCUUCUCUCAUUCUCAACUAACCAUCGUUGAGUUGAGUGCCCAGAUGGCUCCGCUCCUACAGAUGCAGACUUUGACCCCAAACCCGAUCCAGAAUCAGGAUCUUCUUUCGACAACCACGACCCCGAUCUCGACUAUGACAACGACGACCCCGACCCCUACUCUGAAGAUGACCCCGACCCCCACUCCGAUGACCCCAACCCCGAAUUUGUCUCUGAUUCAGAACCCGAUCCCGAUUUCGACUCCGACUCCGGCCUCGACUCAGGCUCAGAUUUCGAUCCAAAUUCCUACUCAACUUAUAUCCUAUGCAUCUUCCGCUGCACAGAUUAUGACUUCUAGACUAACGACCCCGACAUAUGGACCAGAUUGCACAUAUUGUGGUGAUCCGAGACACACUUGUGAGACUUGUUUUAAAUCGCAUGGCUACCCCGAUUGGUGGGCUAUUCUUACAGAUCAAGGACAAUGCACCAGUAAUGGUACUGGUUAUGGAUUCCAUACUUCCGAUAAGAUUGAUUCCAGGAGCUGGAUAAUUGAUUCUGGUGCAACUGAUCAUAUGACGUUUGAUCCUGAUGAUUUUCUGAAUACUACACAACCUCGACGAACUUGUAUUGCAAAUGCCAAUGGUGUUACUUAUCCUGUGACAGGGGCUGGCACUGUUGCACUCUCAUCCUCUCUCACACUGUCUAAUACUUUACUUGUUCCAUUUUUAUCCACUAAAUUGUUGUUAGUUAGUCAGCUUACUAAACAAUUGAAGUGUUGUGUACUCAUUUACCUGAGUUUUUGUUUGCUUCAGGAUAUUCACACUAAGGAGAUUCUUGGUCGUGGUACUAAGAGAGGGGGGCUAUAUUAUGUCGAUGACUUCAGUUCCGGCGUGCCUAACAGUGUGACACAUCCCUUUGAUAGCAAACAAAAGCAAAUUUGGUUGUGGCACCUUCGAUUGGGACAUCCGUCUUUCAGUUAUAUGAAGCAUCUUAUACCAGAUUUAUUCUUAGGUUUCAAGGACUCCGACUUCACAUGUGAUACUUGUAUUUUGGCUAACAGUCACCGUGUGCCCUACCUGUUGAGUACGAACAAGUGUACUUGUAAGAUCCCACAUCAACCAACGGAGAGGGGGUGAUGUGCCUUAUAUAUGCACACCUGCAUCCAUCUAGCACGAGGCCUUUUGGGAGCUCACUGGCUUCGGAGUCGUAGGAACUCCGAAGUUAAGCGAGUUGGGGGCUAGAGCAAUCCCAGGAUGGGUGAUCCACUGGGAAGUUGCUCGUGAGCUCCUAGAAACAAAACCGUGAGGGCAGAGAGAGGGGCCCAAAGCGGACAAUAUCGUGCUACGGCGGAGUUGAUCCCGAGAUGUGACAAUUUGGUAUCAGAGCCACUCUGCCGUGUGGUGCGAAUGUGCCGACGAGGACUUCGGGCCCUUAAGGGGGGUGGAUUGUAAGAUCCCACAUCAACCAACGGAGAGGGGGUGAUGUGCCUUAUAUAUGCACACCUGCAUCCAUCUAGCAUGAGACCUUUUGGGAGCUCACUGGCUUCGGAGUUGUAGGAACUCCGACGUUAAGCGAGUUGGGGGCUAGAGCAAUCCCAGGAUGGGUGACCCACUGGGAAGUUGCUCGUGAGUUCCCAGAAACAAAACCGUGAGGGCCAGAGAGGGGGGCCCAAAGCUGAUAAUAUCGUGCUACGGCGGAGCCGAUCCCGGGAUGUGACAAUUGUACUACUCCAUUUACGUUAAUUCACUCUGAUGUCUUGGGACCUUCGCCUAUCACUGCUCCUUCUGGUGUUCGAUGGUUUGUCACAUUCAUCGAUGAUUGUAUACAGAUGACAUGGCUUUAUUUGCUGAAGAAUAAAAACGAAGUGUUUUCCCGUUUUCAGUCCUUCCACAAACAGAUGAAAACUCAGUUUAAUGCUCAAAUCCAGAUUCUUCGCUCAGACAAUGGUGGAGAAUUUGUCAAUCAUGACUUUCAGACUUACUUCCAACAACAUGGAAUUAUCCAUGAGACGACUUGUCCUCAGACACCACAACAAAAUUGUGUUGUUGAACGAAAGAAUUGACAUCUUCUUGAAACCGCCCAAGCACUUCUGAUUGGCGCUCAUGUUCCUCGCUAUCACUGGGAUGAUGCUAUUGUCACCGCAGUUCACCUGAUCAACCGCAUGCCUUCUGGUGUAUUGACCUUUAAAACUCCCUUACAGGUGCUUGCGCAACACAGACCUCUGCUCUCUGUUUUGGUACUCACACCCCGAAUCUUUGGAUGUGUGGCUUUCGUUCAUCUCCACAAAAAUCAACGUAGCAAACUUGAUCCCUGUGCGCUUCGUUGUGUUUUUAUAGGUUAUGCCACUCAUCAGAAAGGCUACCGUUGUUAUCACCCUCCUACCCAACGAACCUAUGUCACUUUGGAUGUGACCUUUCUGGAAUCUGAGUUGUUCUUCCAUGACCCAUCAUCCAAUUCUACGCAUCAGGGGGGGAUACGAAGUGAAGAGCAGAAUUGAAGCAACUUGGGAAAUAAAGAAAUUUUCCUCUGUACAGAAAUGAUUAAUCAUCCUGAGUCUGGAGCACGAGAUUACUCUCUGUCGAAAAGCAACCAAUCGCCCAUUCAUAGCGAUCAAUUGCCUCACCUACCUGAUCCAUGUGAAGAUAUUUUUGAUCCGAGUCUCACACCUACAGACAAUACAGAACAACAAGAUGAAGACUCCCCCUCUAACUCAACAGUACCAACAGACCAAUCUCCUGAGAAUAUCCUUGAGGUAACUACUCCUACUAGAUUUGUGCAUUUAAAUGAUUAAACUAUUGGAUAUCAAUUACCUUUCAGGGAAAAUCGUGGGAAGCCAUCAAACCGUUAUGCACCUGAUAUUGGCAAGACAUCCAAGUAUCCAAUUGCAAAUCAUGUAUCCACUGAGAAGCUGUCUGAACAACUCAAGGCUUUUGUGCAUCAGUUGUCUGCGAUCCAUAUUCCAACCAAGGUCUCUGAAGCAUUAAAAUAUCCUAAGUGGGUCCAAGCUAUAAAAGAGGAGAUGAAAGCUCUUGAGAAAAAUCAGACUUGGACAUUAGAGACUAUACCUCGAGGAAAAAAGACUAUCAGAUGUAGAUGGGUGUUUACUAUAAAACACAAUGUAGAUGGAUCUAUCGAGCAAUACAAGGCAAGACUUGUGGAAAAAGGGUACACACAGACAUAUGGUAUAGACUAUGAAGAAACCUUUGCUCCAGUUGCAAAGUCAAACACCAUCAGAGUCUUAUUGUCCCUUGCAGCUAAUUUGGAUUGGCCACUACACCAGUUUGAUGUAAAGAAUGCUUUUCUACAUGGCGUACUCACGGAGGAGGUGUACAUUUACAUUCCUCCUGGAUAUAAUACUACUUAGACUGGAACAGUUUGCAGGUUACGAAAAGCAUUGUAUGGAUUGAAACAGUCACCACGUGCAUGGUUUGGACAGUUCACCAUGGCAAUGAAGAACAAUGGUUCAAACAGUGCAACUCAGAUCAUACUCUACUCUUGAAACAUCGAAAAGGGAAGGUAACAACAUUAAUAAUCUAUGUUGAUGAUAUGAUUAUUACUGGGAAUGAUAAACAGGAAAUAUCACAGCUACAAGACUAUCUGGCUACGGAGUUUGAGAUGAUGGAUCUAGGUGGACUCAAGUAUUUCUUGGGAAUUGAGGUGGCUCGAUCCCAGCAAGGCAUAUUUCUCUCUCAAAGGAAAUAUGUCUUGGACUUGUUGACAGACACAUGAAUGCUAGAUUGUAAACCUGCGAACACUCAUAUUGUUCAGAAUCAUCAUCUUGGAGAAUAUCAUGAUCAAGUUCCAACUAACAAAGAAAGAUACCAAAGGUUAGUAGGAAGAUUGAUCUAUUUGUCACAUACUUGACCAAACAUUACUUAUGCAAUGAGCGUUGUCAGUCAAUUUAUGCACUCUCCAAGUGAAGACCACACGAAUGCAGUUCUUCGGAUACUUAGAUAUUUGAAGUCUGCACCUGAAAAAGGACUUAUUUUCUGAAAGCAUGGUCAUAUAAAUAUUGAUGGUUAUUCAGAUGUAAUGUAACAGAUAGAAAAUCCACAUCCGGUUACUUAACAUUCAUGGGAGGUAAUUUGGUGACAUGGAGGAGCAAGAAACAGAAUGUAGUAGCUUUAUCCAGUGCAGAAGCCGAGUUCAGAGGCAUGACUAAAGGAAUUUGUGAACUUCUUUGGUUAAGAAAGUUGCUUACUGAACUUGGGUAUAAACCUACAUCCACAAUGAUUCUCUUUUGUGACAACAAGGCUGUUAUAGCCAUUGCACAGAAUCCGGUUCAGCAUGAUCGUACUAAACAUGUUGAGGAGGAUCGACACUUCAUCAAACAGAAGCUUGAGGCUAAAAUGUUUCAGUUUUCUUUUGUGAAAUCCGAGGAUCAAUUGGCGGAUAUUUUGACAAAGGUGAUUUCCAGUAAAACAUUCCACAAUUCACUGGAUCAGUUAGGCAUUGGCGAUAUCUAUGCACCAACGUGAGGGGAAGUGUUGGCGUGACUUGUGGAUAUUGACUUACUUUCCUUACACACCAAGAAUUCCUAUUAUAAUUGUAAUUGAUUUACUUUAAUUCCUGAUUUCCUAUUGUAAAUAGAUUUAGGAAUUUAUUAUUUACUUGCCCAUUCAGGUUUCGUUGUAUUAUAAAUAUGACCUCCUACAAGGAGAAUAACAUACAGAAAAUUCCCACAAACAAAUAUUCUCUUAUAGUUUUCAUAUUUUAGCAAGAACUACUCGAGAGUUUACUAAAAGAGUAGUUCAGUAUUCAUCCACAAGCUAUAUACACAAUACACUCUAUAGAUAUGCCAAAAUCAUCGCAAGCUCUAGAUUUUAGGUUCGAUACCUGCAAAAUCUAUUAGAAGGGUGAGUGAAACCACAGUUUAGUAGGGACAUAAACCUUUUCACGGUAAACUGAUAUAAUUAAAUUAAGUGAAAAAUAAUCACACAGCCAAAUAUCACAUUAUUAAUAACAAUGCAUGAAUGCUCUUCAUUUAACCCGUUAAUUCAUAUAAUUAGACAAGCUUCACGACCCAUACCAUGCUUAUACCACUUAGUCCCGAAUGCCAAUUUAUAUGAAUUAACGCCCAUUUCAAUCAUCCCAUAAUUCCCAUUUUGUUAGUCAUCUUGUCUAACUCCCUGUUGCCAGUCCUGAAUCACCAAAAAAAAAAAACCAUGUGCACUAUGGGAUCCCUGAGUACUAGUACCUGGCAAGAGUUAGACUCAACUACACAAAAGAUCAUUUCUAUUACCCUCUUAUCCACCAUUAUUUUCUCAACUUCAGAAUUCUAGCCAAAUUCCAUGACAUGAUAUAAUUAAAAUUAUGCCUUCACAACAAUGUGCCCAUUUAAAACAUCACUAAUGCACAUAUAAUUAUGCCCACAUUGUUCAAAUAGUUAAGAGUACGUAAAUACCCAAUACAUGGAACGUCAAUCAAACAGUACCACGCAUAAUAUAAUGCUCAAGAAAUUUAAUUAAAUCAAUCUCUGUAAAAGGCCCCUAAGAAACCCCUGCCUUGAUACUAAAGCUUUUGCUAGACCUAUAAGGUGUUUUCCAAUUUUCCACCGCAUUCACAAACUCUGUCUUCUACUUUUUUUCUUACUUCUCUCUACCACUAUUUCUUUCUCGUUUUCUUUGUUUUCACUUGUUGUGCAACUUAAUGUCCUAUAUAUAUACAAGGAACAAGUCGGCAGUAAGUGAUUUCCUAUUGGAUGGUGUAUUCGGUUGUUAUAAACUUACUAGUAAUAGUUAUCAAUGUAGUUGCAGAUGAGGAAGAAUGUUUUUGUGACUCUUCCAAUCCCUCUAAUCCUAUUUCUUAUCUUCUUGGUGAGUUGAUAGCCUCGAUACUUAACAGAUUUUAUACUUUGACACGUAUUAACAAGAACUAUUUUAAAAACAUAUACAUAUAUAUAUAUAUAAUAGAAUAUGUAUAUAUGUAAUACACAUAUUUAUAUAUAAUAAGAAUAAUAUAUAUGUAAUAAGAUAUAAAUAUUUAUUAGAACAGUAUAUAAAAUAAUAUAUAUCAUUCUUAUUAUAACAAUAAUUUUAAUUUUCCCAAAAUAAUAUAUAUUUAAAAAUAUGUGGUUUCACAUGCAUGUCCUUUUUGCUAUAGACACUAUUACAAAAAUCGAAAUAGACAACGGAAAACUACCGUCGUCUGGAAAGUUUUCAAACAGUCGUGAAAUCGACUGUCGUCUCUUUUACAUAAAACAACGACGGCUAUUAACCAACGUCGUUAAUACAUUCCACGUAAAAAACUAUUAUAAACCGACGUGUAAUUACUAUAUAUAUAGCCUAAAAUAAAAUCUUCAACAACCUUAGACGACGGUUUUAUUAAAACUGACACGUCUAAAGAGUGUUACAUGUCAAGAUCAAAACAAGAACCGACGUACAGAUAAUUAUCCACGUCCUAAUUGAAGUAAAAUAGACUUGGAUAACCUAGAAACCGUCGUGGUUAACAUAUACUACGUUAAAUUAACAAAGGCACUUACGUCUAAAAAGUAAAAGACAACACGCGCACAAAGCAACAGACGUUUAAAGCUUAGUACAUGUCAAUAGCCGCUCAAUAACCGCAGUAAAAUGAAUUAACCACGUCCCACAUAUGGCAGAACUGUUGCUUAUGUGAUUAUCCACGUCGCGGAGUAGUAGAACAAAGACGUUGUAACCAUAUUCCACGUCUGUUUCUUGUGAGAAUUGUCGUUUAAAUUAUACAAAGAAGCCCCUUUGACAGAGUUAGACGUUGCUCUUGCUGUAGAACCGACUUCUAACAGGUUUAAAAUGACACAAUAUUACUUAAUACUGCCGUAACAAAUCAUAUCCACGACUGCUGUUGUCAAAGACUGACGUUACAAAAAAUAUUGAAGGUGUUGACAAAAAAGAACCGACAUGGAUUAUGCAUUCAACGUCGUGUGGUCUAAAAAUAAAGGACGUGGUUAAUUUUUUCUCUACGUCAAGUGGAUCCAAUUGCCUGAUGUUGUAAUUCUUUACCAUGUUGGUUUUUAAUACAUGAUGAUGUGGUUGUCCUUUUAAAAGUCGCUUGUUUUACCCUCCUUGACGUGUGUAUGAUAUGAGACGUCAAUUGUUUUAGACUAGCUGACGUGCAGAAAAUCUGUCACGACAAUUAAUGCAACUGAAUUGCCUCUAUUUCCCCCAGACGACGGUAGGUUUUAAGUGUGGAAGUAGUGUUUUACAAAAUCGUAAGUUGGAGUAAUCUACCAUCGUGUUAUUCGAGAAUAUACCACGAUCUUUGUUUUGUACUCGGUCGCUGAUGUUUAUACUACUUAAUAAACUGACAUGUUUUCAGUUUCAGACGGCGGCUUUUGUUUCUUUAUGGUCUUUUGCAUUUUUUUUCCAUGACAUUUUUGAAAGCCUAAUGUUGGUUUUAUUUUAGAAAUCGAUUUUUCCCCUUUUUUUACUGGACCGUCGUACUUUACACAUUUAAUCAAUUUUUUUCAAUUUUUGAUUCAUCGUGCCCAAAGCCUACAUAACGAAAAUGUGAUCAGAAUUAAAAUGAUGUACAAAGGUAUUAAUUAAUGUCAUACAAUUAACUGAAUAACUAAUGUCAUACACUACAACAAUCAAUCAAUCCAUAUAUCUUCACACCCAUCUUUAAUAUUUUCACUCCCAAACUCACCCACUAGGUCAUCAUAUGUGUCAACAUUUGGUAUCCCUCUAGUAAAUGUCUCACACUCAAUUCUAAUAUCACCUAGCACAUCAUCACCAAUAACAUUAUUAUAUUCUCUAUUAUGCAUUGAUAACACUACCGACCAACCACGAUGCAUUGGGUCGUCAGCAUAAAAUACUUGUUUUGGUCAUUCCUAUGUCCAAUUUUACUCAAAUCUACAAAGGUGAAUCCAAGUUCAUCGACAACAAGGCCCAAAGUGUUAUCUAUCCAAUCACACCUCAAGACAAGGAUUCUAAACUUUUGGUAGUCAAGGUCCCAAAUUUCUUGAAUAACACCAUAAAAACCCAUAUUGGAGACAAUAGAGUUUUUAUCCUUAGCACUAGCAACUUGCAUAGUAUGUGCAAGUAAAUAAACUCCACUAUUUUGGACAGUUCGCAUAUCAUCUUGUGCCUUGGUGUUAAAUUUAACACCAUUAAUAAGAUAGCUCCUAUAUGAUGGCAUUGCCAUGCUUGGACUAGCUGCUAGCCACCUCAAAUUUUAUGAUACGCCAUUAUGCUCUUCCCCAUUAAGUUCACUUUGAACUUGCAAAUUAAUCGUAUAUAUCCUAAUUCGAUCUAACAUAUAAAAAGGAAGAAAAUUAAAAGUUGAAUAUGUCAUUCAAUAACAUAUAUACUUGAAAGUGUAGCCAUUGAAUGAAAGUGCUAUUGUGCUUAUCUUGCAGCCACUUUGUUCUCUUUCUAAAUAUUGGAUAAGUGGUCUUGAUGUGGAUCAUAUGUUCCAUACAUUGACACGAAAAAAUCAAGCAUUACGGUCCCUUGUAUAUAAGAUAACAUAAGGAAUAAUAAUAUUUAAAAUGGCUCUAUAUGAAAAAUGGAACUCAUGCGUACUCGAUAUAAGGUAGGACUUCCUCAGUAUUCUCCAAGACAUAUAGAUGUGUCUGGUUCAAAAAACCCGAUCACCUAAGCUUACUGUGCAACCAGAUAAUGGCUUUGAAACUCCCAUCUUCUAGCUUGAAGGCACUCCAACUGUACUAACAUCAGAUAAAUGCUCGGUGCAAAACUCUACAACUUCUUCAGCUAUAUACCGCUCAAUAAUGCAACAUCCGGGACGAGUACGGUUCUGAACAAACCUAUUUAGCACUUUCAUAUGUCUUUCAAAUGGAUACAUCCAUCUAAAAUAUACUGGCCCAUGUAGACGAACUUCUCUGACAAGAUGUACUACUAGAUGAACCAUGAUAUCAAAGAAUGAAGGGGGAAAGUACUUCUCAAGCAAACGCAACGUAACUACUACAUCUUCUUCCAAAUUAUCUAGCUUGGAAACAUCUACUGUCUUUGCACAUAUAGCAUUGAAGAAGAAGCACAAUCGAGUUAUUGCAUACCUUGCAGGCUUCUCCAAACAGAACGAAUUGCCACAGGGAGCAAUUGUUGCAUCAAGGCAUGAAAAUUAUGAGAUUUAAGGCCAAGAAGUCUUGAAUAUUUUUAAGAUACAAGAUUUUUUUAUAUUUGAACAAUAACCUUCAGGGACUUUCAUACCAUAGAAAGAAUUGCAAACCGCUCUCUUAUCUGCUCUUGACAAAUUCUAGGGCCUUGGAGGCAAGCGAGUACGUCUUUCUCAAUACUCGGGUUGCAAAUCAUUUUUGACCCCCAUGUUCAAUAAAUCUAACCGAACAGCAAUCUCAUCUUUAUUUUUUCUAGGGAUCUCCAGCAAUGUACCAAUGAUACUAUCGCAAACAUUCUUCUCAAUAUGCAUAACAUCUUGGACAUGCCUCAUAGGAAGGUAUUUCAAAUACUCGAGAUCAAAGAAUUUUGAUUUCUUAUUCCAACAAACUCUGUCACCAUCAUUCUCAAAAACACUUCCCCCAUUUUUCGAGCCCCAUAUGUAAUUAAUAUCUUCAACCAUGUCCUAUUCAAGUUAAUGGUUCGGGAGGCGUGCCAUAUUCAAGUUUUCCAUUGAAAGCUGCACGCUACCUCCGACAUGGAUGAUUGAUUGGUAACCAUUUUUUAUGACCAAUGUAACAAAUUUUGGGGCCAUUUUCAACCUGUGACUAGGUGUAUCAUCGCCGCAUAUUGGACAAGCUUUAUAUCCUUUAACGACACUGUAACACCCCGACUCUAAAUUAAUCCCUUAUUUAAUUAUUUAAAGAAAAUUACAAAUUUACCCUUAAGAUAGGGGUAUUUUGGUCAUUUUCUUACCCGAAGAGAGUUUGGGGCAGUGACUAGUAUUUUUGGAUAGGUCGUACUGAGACGAGUUCAUAGACACGUAGUGGGCUCGAAUCGAAGUUGUAACGAGAGAGAUAUGGUCAAAAGAAACCCAAUUGCACAAUCAUAAUUAUUUCGAAAUGAGAUUUUUAUAAAAAUCAGAUUUUUUUUUCUCUCUCUCUCUCUCUCCUCGUCGGUCUCUCUCCCUCUCCUCGAAACUCCGGCCAUCGGCCACGGCUGUGGACGGGGCCGGUACCAAAAUGACCGAGGCGUUGUCCUCCUCUAAUCCCAGCUAGGUCCCGCCGUCAGCCGCCAUGGUUUCGCCGGAAAAUGGAGAAGAAGCGGCCGGCGUCGUCCGAAGUUCUCCGCCGUUGAUCUCCCUCUUCCGGUCACCGAUUCCGACGAGUGAGGUAUGGUUUCUCACCUACUUUUCAUGCUCUAGCUGCCUGCUGGGUAUGAUUGGAUUGAUUUUUAGCGUAGGCAAUUCGAUUUUCGCAUUGAAAUUCGGCUAAUUUUGGAAUCACGAUUCCGGCUAGUUCUGGUCAGUUUUUGGGGUAGAUCCAAGAACAAAAGUGGCUCCAAAUAGGGUGUUAUACCUAGGGUAGGAGUUUGGAGCCAUGGUUUUGAGAUUUUCCGGCGAUACGUAAUCGCUUUAGACACCCAACGCUGCCCGCACGUGUGGCAGUGCGUGGGCGAGGGUAGUGAAAUAGCACUAUGUCUCGAUGAGAUCCUUAGGUUGUCACGAGUGCGUAGGAUUUCGCGGAUCUCAAUUCGGACGUCGUUUGACUAUCGAACGGAUUUUCGUAUAUUGCGCGUCAUCCGGGUUCGAUAGGUUGGGACCGUUGGAUGGUCUCGAAUAAAAUAUAUGUUAAUCUAGGUAUUUCUAGGAUCAUGUAGGAAUUCACGGAUUAUAAAUCGGAGCCCCGGAUAUUCCGAAUAAAUAAUUUAAAGUUUAUGUUUUAUAAUAACCGUCACAUCGUGCGAUCGUGAGCGAUCCGACCGGCCGAUCUGGACCAAACUUACAGAACGAGUGUCCUAUACCUUGAAGAACCCAUAGGAAUUUUCAGAUCGAAAUUUGGAGGUCGUGGGCCCCGUGGGCCCAUUUGACUAGGGGUAGGGUAGUUUGACCCUUAGUUGACCGUGAGUCUCCCGGAGUAAUCUCACCUUUCCAGGGGGAUUAUCGGGUGCUAGACUGUUGUUGAGGUUUACACGAUAUUAGUAGUAAAUUAUAUAUUUAUAUACAUUUGUAAAGGUAAAAAAUAAGUCCAGAAUGUCAGUUUGAAGUGCUUUACGCACUACCUUAGGUACCUCCCCGGAUUUUAGUUACACUACAAGUACCACCCUAUGAAAGUUAGGUCCCACGUGGCGUAGGUUAUCCGGCGUGCGGACAGGCCCUAUACGUGGCAUUGGUAGUAUCGGUGUAUGGGGAGAUUACGUGAUAAUAUGUUGAGGUCACACGUGGCGUAGGUUAUCCGGCGUGUUGACAGACCCCAUACGUGGCGUUGGUUGUACCGGCGUAUGAGGAGAUAUUGUGAUAUGAUAUUCAGGUCUCGCGUGGCGUAGGUUAUCCAGCGUUGAGACAGACCCCAUACGUGGCGUUGGUUCUACCGGCGUAUAAGGAGUUUAUGUGAUAUUAUGUUGAAGUCGCGCGUGGCGUAGGUUAUCCGGUGUGUCGACAGACCCCAUACGUGGUGUUGGUUGUACCGGCGUAUGGGGAGAUAUGUGAUAUGAUGUGCAGGUCUCGCGUGGCGUAGGUUAUCCGGCGUUGAGACAGACCCCAUAUGUGGCGUUAGUUGUACCGGCGUAUGGGAAGAUAUUGUGAUAUGAUAUUCAGGUCUCGGGUGGCGUAGGUUAUCCGGCGUGUUGACAGGCCCCAUACGUGGCGUUGGUAGUACCGGUAUAUGGGGAGAUUAUGUGAAAUACAGAGAAAUGAAAUAAGGUAUUGCCUAUGUGUGGAAUUGGGUUUUAAGGAAGAACUACGUGUGGCUUGAUCCCUCAGGGAGGGUACGUAGGCAGCCUAAGGUUAUUAGGUGUAGCCGCGGACAUAGACGUGAUUGUGUUAGGAGGUUAAAACCUCGUAUGUUGAAAUUGAGAAAAUUAGAUGAUGUAUGUUGAAAUUUAGUAGUCGUAAUUUAUAUUUAAAUUUAUCGUUUGCCUUGUUUAAGGCAUGAAUUGAUUUGCUAGCAUGCUUGGUAGUUGAGAAUUAUAGAAAGGCCGAAGGCCGUUUAUGUGAAUUGCAUGGAAUUAUAUUGUGCAUGCUGCCAGUUGUAGUUAUUAAAUGUGUUUUUAUGCAGGUUGAAAUUUUGGGAAAUGUCCAAUUUACAGGGGAGACUCUGCCGAAAUUUCGGCAGAAAGUCUCGGUCUUUAGUAAGUGGGCCUGACAUCGAGGUGAUGUCGGGGAAUCCACAGGAUCCGCCUCGAUUUUUGGAAAAAUCGGGGCGGUUCCUUUCAGACACAACCAGAUAAGUUCUCAUAGGCAGAAAAAUCAUUAAUUGUUCACAGUAAUACACCUAUGAGUGUAAAGUAAUCUCCUAUGUGUGCAUCAUACACUCCUUUAAUCCCAUCCCACAAAGAUUUUAAAUCAUCAAUCAGAGGCUCUAAGUAGACAUCUAUAUCAUUUCCAUUCUAUUUAGGACCAGAAAUCAAUAAGGUCAAUAUCAUGAACUUCCAUUUCAUGCAUAGCCAUGGUGGGAGAUUAUAUGUAACUAAGAUAACCAACAAUUGUAUCUGCUACUUAAAGAACUGUGGGGAUUGAAUCCAUCAGAUGAGAGAGCCAAUCUCAAGUUUCUUGGCUCUUUACUGAACUCGGGCCAUUUAUCAUCAACAAGUUUUUAAGACGGGAAAUUCGCUGGAUGAGACAUAUGACCGUCAAUUGCUUUUCUAGCAACAUGCCAAGUCAAACUCUUAGCUGUCAUAUGUGAUUGAAACAUCCUUUUAAACCUUGGAAUUGGAGGAAAAUACCACACCACCUUCGCUGGCACACUCUUUUUCAAGAUUGAAUCUUUGCAUUCCUUCCACCUUGAGAUACCACAAGUAGGACAAUUAGUUGAAUCUUCAUAAUCAUUCCUAUACAAGAUGCAGUCAUUGGGACAUGCAUGGAUAUUCUCAUAACUCAUCCCUAAAGGAGAUAAUGUCUUUUUUGCCUCGUACAUAGAGGAAUAUAGUGUCUUUCCUUCUGGAAGCAAAUCUCCUUGAAGUAUCAAUAAUUCUAUAAAACAAACAUCACUCAUCCCAUGUUUUGCUUUCAAAUUAUAUAACUUCACCAAAGCCGACAACAUCGUGUACUUACUGCAACCAGGGUACAAGGAUUGAUCUCAAUCCCCAAUCACAUUGGCAAACUCAUAAGGAUCAAAUCCAAUAUCGCCUAAAUCAUUAUCAUCCAUCCCUACUUCUUUAGAAACAAAACUGAACCUACUUUGCUCAUCUUCUUCCACAUUUCUACUAGCAUUAGUAGUCAAUUCCCAAGGUUCUCCGUGCCAUGUGCAAAUCUGAUAGCUUUAGUCAAUUCCAUUAAAGUAUAAGUGGUCCCUCAUAAUUCCAACCCCAAACAAUCGAAUAUUCCCACAUUUAACACAUGGACAACGAAUAUGAGUUGUAUUUCCAAGAUUUUCUACAGCAAAAUUCAAAAAUCCUUCCACCCCUAACUCAUAUGCCUUCGGUCUUCUAUCCGCAUGCAUCCAUGACUUAUCCAUCUCACACACUAUAAAAUCAUAUAUAUAAUAAAGUGAAAAGACCAGCAAUGAAACACUACUUUAUUCACAUAGCAAAGAAUGAAUUGAAAAAAAAAAUUAACCAAGAAUCAGACGACGGUUUUUACAAAAAAAAUCGUCCUGUAACAGAGGGUCAGACGACGGCAUAUCUAGUUAUCGACGUCUUUAAGCUACCCAAACCCAGAUAUUUGUAUUGCUUUUUGAAGAACCGGGUUCUGGGUUCUGGUAAACAAAAGAUGACGGUAAAUGGAGAAACACCGACGUAUCCUAAAACUUGAGACGACGGUUUAUUUCACCAACCGUCGUCGUAGUUUACGAAAAACAGAAGUCUAAAUCUCCCAUCCUCAUUCCUUUUCUAAGAACCCUUAACAAAAUGCAAACAUCAAAAUAUAAAAGAGCCAUAUAUAGCUCCCAAUUAAGAAACCAAAGCUACCAAAACAUAUAUUAAUAAACCAAAGCUACCAAAAUGAACGAAAACAUUUAUGGGUUUUACAAACUAAGAGAAUAUUGAGAGAGAGCUGAGAGAAUAUACUUACAUGGAUAUUGAGAGAGAGCUGAGAGAAUAUAACAAAUGCUUGAGAGAGAGCUUAGAGAAUAUACACAAUGCUUUGAGAGAGAGCGAAAAAUUUAAGACAAAUUUAUGUUGAAGAGAGAGAAGGAAAUAUUUUAGGGUUAAAGGGAAAUUCUGAAAAUUUUAGAUCACCGUCAAAAUUUUCAAAGGACCGCGUUUUUCAAAGACGGCUAAGGAAAACUACCGCCAUUGUAAAUCAUUUUACUACGACGGUUGAGGAAAACUACCGCCAUUGUAAAUCAUUUUUAUGUCGCCUCUAUAAAAACCGACGUCUAAAAUAUUAAAUAAUUAGAUUUGGUUUGCAUUUCGUGGGAUUCUAACGUGCGUAAUUGACCAAAAAGAGCGAGAGAAAACCAGCGUCGUUUCUAUAAAACCUAAACCCUAAACCCUAAACCCUAAACUCUAAAACCUAAACACUGAAAAAAUUAACCAAAAAUUGCUAUGGACUCCUUACAACAAUGCCUUCUAUAUUAGUAGGCUAAAAUCGGGAUUAAAUAAUUUUGAAUUUUAUGACCACCAAUGGAUCACAUAAACCUUAGGGUUAUGUUUAUGGAAAGUAUAAGGAUUAUUGUGUUUUGUCUCUAAAUCUUUUUUACUUUUGUUAUCACUUGUAACUUUGAAAUCUAAAAUUAAAAUUUUCAGGCCUUUAGGGGGGAGAUAUUGUCUCAAUGUGUUUAUAGAAUUUGAGACUGCGAAGGUUCUAGCUGAUUGACUAAGGAUGAGGCAGGAUGGAUGGAAGGUUUGCUUGGAGAUUCUACCUUUGUCAGCUCUUCUGGUUGACAUGUUGUUUAUUCUGCCUGAGGAACUACUUCUAGAUUUUUCCCUUUUCUAGCAGAACUAGUCUCUGGAAGUACUUGUGUGUCAUCCUUAUUCUUGAGGAAGACGCAGUAUUGCCUUUGAACUCUCCUCUUUUGCAUUCUGGUUAGCUUCAGAGUUGGUCUUCGGCUUUUUCCAAUAGAAUAUCAUCUACCUUCUAUGAUAGUUGCAAAGGGCUUGUCAUUUCCAGGCAUCUUAACUGGUAUUUCCUUCUUUGGCUGCUCUAUUAUUCUCUUGUUGCGUUGGGCAGGCCUUAAAUAGUCCUUCUGUCUGGCUCUAUCUCUAGGUGGAGCCGGAACUAGGCCUUGUUGGUAUGAUGUUCCAAUCCUGUCAAAAACACAAGGUGUGGGCUGACUUUGCCUAACCAGAGUUACCUCUAACUCACUUUCACAUUUGCACCUGUUGCACAAAACUACCCCAGCCGAAAUGGUUGCUUUUGGUCUUCAAUUAGCCUAUCUUUGGACUCUUCUGCCUAUGCUGGGGCUAACUUUUGCUGUUAGUUUGCCUUUCUUUUGUUUUGGCCAAUUUAAGUUGACCAUGUUGACUUGAGGUUGGGGAAAAGGGUCUGUUGUUAUCGAAUGAGGUUUCUCAGCCAGUUUUAGCCUCCAUGCUGUUAUUCCUUCCUGUAUGACGUCCCUGAAAACAACACAACUAUUGGUGGAAUGGUCCCAGGAGUUAUGCCAUCUGCAAUACUGUCUGCCCUUGAGUUCCUCUAGCUUGGGCAACUUGUAGGGUGUUUCUAUUGCCUUCUGUCGCAGCAUGUCAUCAAACAGGGCAUCAACCUUGGUUAAAUCGAGGGAAUAGACUUUGUUAUGAGCUGGUUUGUUUGGAACAAACCCUCUUGUGAAUGGUGGUGGCUUUUGGUCCUUUGGUGGCUUUGUUAAAGCCUUGCAACUGAUGAGAUGUUUUAAUUUCCCCAUUUCUGCCACUGCAACUUCUCUCUCCUCCGAGCUUUCUAUGCCUUCUUCUGAUUCUACCUCAACAAGAUUUACUGAAGAGGAUGGGGUUUUGUAAUAUGUGCCUUUGAAAGAGUUCCUCUUCUAUUGUUCUUCCCUGAGCAGCUCCUUGUAUUUAGAUGCUUUGUCUGCUAGUUCUGCCAGAUCUCCAAACAGCAUCCCAUCAAAUUUUUUUCUCAGAGAGAUUUUAAGGGAGAUUUGAGCCAUUUGGAUGAAGUGCCCUUCCUCCAUAGGGAUUCAAAAUUUCAUUUUGAGCUUUUUGAACCUGGUUAUGAAGUCUUGGGCAGGCUCAUCUUCCCUCUAUUUCCAGGUUUGAGGGCAGCAAGAUCACUGAUGGUGACUUCUGGCUGAAUCCUAAAAUAGUAGUCAUGGAAGACAUUUUCCAUCUAUUUCCAGGUUUGAACAGAAUUGGCUGGUAAGCUAGUAUAUUAGAUGAAGGCUUGUCCAGAGAGAGAAUUUCGAAAAAGCCUUAGUUUUAACAGAAGGUUAUUUUCUAUGGCUAUGCACUGGAAAGAGAAUCUGCCUAUAUGCUUAACUGAUGAAGCAUGGGUGUCUUCUCCGUUGAACAAGGUGAAGUGUGGUACCUUAAAGCCCAGGGAUAGAGGUAUUUGAUCGAUAUAAGCUGGAUAAGGCUUUCUGUAGGUGGGCCUUUCUCCUCUUCUGGCCUCAGGUUCCAUCAUCUCUCUGAUCAUUCUAUAAAGUGCCCCCAUGUCAUUCAAAGCAUUGACAUGAUGCGGGGUUCGCCCCUGUUCUGGCUAGUUGUGUUCAAUCCUUUGUUCUACUUUAUAUGGCCUGGGCAGAACUUCCUCCCUAUGCUCUUCCUCUUUUUCGAAAUCUGGAUGAUUCCUUUAGUUUGCCCCCGGUCUGUUUUUGUCAUUGUUGGCAAAGGGUUUAACUCCUACUCUACCUCUCAUGCCACUUGCUAGUGGAGGGAAUGGAUUGGGGUCCAUCCUUCUAGGUCUGUAGGGCAACACAACUGGUUGCUCAGGCAGAAGUGCCAAGGCCUGAUCACGUGGGGCCACUAGUUGUGGAAUAGGUGGAGGUUCUGGCUAGUUCUGAGGGGGUCUGAACUGGUGCAGAGCCUUCUGGAUGAACUGAAUCCUCAUGUUCUUGGAUGGGAAGGGCUCCUCCCCUCUGUCCAGCUUGGAUUUCUCCAUGUCCUGGUAUUCCAGCUAUCUGUGUGAUGAGAGGCUUCUCUUCAUAUGGCCAUGCCAGUCCUGGUAGAGGUCCAAAAGGGAGAUCUAGCUGCUGGACCACCAUGUCUAGGUUUGGAAUUUUGGCAAUAGUAGCCUCACGGUCCUUCCUGAACUGCCUGUUGACUUGCCAUUACAUCAUGGUUGUCAUGUUGUUUAGAGUAUCUUGGCUCAUUUGUGCUGUGGCUUCUUGCCGAAACACAGCCUCCUGUAUCUAGUUUAACCUUCUGGAACCAGACAUGGAACGUCUACUCGUGGUACUGCCAUGGGCUGAUUACCUAGCAUCACUUUCUUUUGACUCAAGUCCUUUUCGGAGAGCUGCUUGAUCUCUUUUCAUGGCAUAGCGUGGAUUCUGGCUAGAACUUCCAAUAUUCAUAUACUAGAGGAUUUUUCUAGAAAUAUAUGUAUUGAGAAGUCCCACUGGGCGUGCCAAAUUGUUCAUCCGUUUUAGAUUUGUUCCUGUGAUGGUAGGGUAAAGUUCCUCAUUGACUUGAAAACCAUUGGUGGUCAAUAAGUCAACUUUCUUUUGUGUACAAAUGUGCCACUGCUAGCAAUAAAAACCCUAGCAGACUUCUUAAAAAUAGAAAACUUGUGCCCAAGUUAUUAACUUCUAAAUAAGCGAUUGUGAAUUUGGGCGAGGAAUAUCUCCCAAGUAAGUUCUUUUCUUUGCCUCAGAUUGGUGAGGACUUCACAAUUUUUCACAGUACAAAACUGGUAGUUCUAGCUAGAAUAAAUGAUAAGAAAGUGAACUGUUUUCAGGCAGAACUACCUUUUACAAAGCUUAAAAAGGAAGACCAACUCUAAAAAGACAAAAAGAGCUUUUGGACUUCAAUUUCUGCUUGGAUAAAUGCUUCUGAUCCGGGCUGGACUGGGUAUGUUUGUGCUGGACUGGACUAUCAACACCUUCAACUGUCAAGUUUUAGCUGUCAAUGAAUACCAAUGUUCGAGUGUGGCAAAGCUUCAAUCUAUUUCAAGCCGUGCAAGGCUUUUUGAACGGACAGAAUUGGAACCUCUUCAGUCUGGAAGGGGUAGAAGUGGCUGAAUUUGGUGAUUACUGAGCUGGAACUGCACUGUAGUACCUGUUCUGCUUGAUCAGGGCUCUCCAUAAAUUUGUUGAGGUUUUAAUAUUGGUAAAACCCGAAGCUUAUGUUGAACCAACUUUGUAACGAGAGAAAUCUUGCUUUGAAUGACUAUUUCUCUGAAACUAAACAGAAGUUAGAGAUUCUGGAAUAUAGCUGACUUGUUUCUUAUGGCUCAAUGAGCUUUUGGUUGCUUCAGUGUUUUGAAGGCUUUUGAGAUCAAGUGAUCAUUUUGAGUUUUUAUUUUUGAUUGAUUUUUUGGCUGUCCUUUUAUCUGUUCACCUCAUCUCAUAUUUAUAGAAUAUACUGGAGUGUGAUUUCUAAUCUUUUAAUAAUGGGCGGCAAAUCUUUUAAAAGAUCUUUUUUUCUUUUUUCAAUGUCAUAAGAGAAGGAAGCUACUAUUCUGACAGAGAAAGGUUGUCAACAAUCAUCUUUCAAUUUUUCUAUGUUCACUUUUUGUUCUUUGUAAAGAGAAAGAACACAAUCUACCAUGAUGGUCAGUGUGCUUUUCCUGUUGAACAACUCCCUCGUUCUCUACUUAUCUCUUGAAAACGUAGUCUGCUUAUCUCUUGGAAAGACCACCUGAUUUGGUGCAGAGCUUCUCUAUAUAUAUAUAUAUAUAAAGGGAUUUUGAUCUUCUUCUUUUGGCUGAAAAAAUAGAGAAGUCUUUCUGUAAGACCUGCCUUCAUUAAUUUUCUAUCAACUUCUCUGUAAUAGUUGAAAAUUUUGACUUUUCAAAGCCAGGUAUUCACGUGGGGUUGUUUAGAAAAGAUCUGUUGAUUUUGUCAAUCUUUUAGGGUAGAGAUUAAAUAGCGUAAAAAGGCUGGGCUAGUCUCUUUUUCUUAGUAGAUAAAAAGCCCAAAUAUUUUGUCUCACUGCCCUUUUCUGGAAAAUAAAUGGGCUGGGUGUGUUGGAAAUUGGCCCAAUCUUAAGAAAGACUCUGGUGGCUGCCCAAAAUUGACAUAGGCUUUUCUUGAUUUUGGGCUGGGCAUGCCAAAUUAGGCCCAAACAAUGCCCCUUAAGUCUGAAUUGUUUUUGGAAUAGUUUCAGACUUAAUGAUUUGGCCAUUAAUUUGUGCGCGCCAUUUCCUUCUGUUAGCCCACAUCUGCCACGUCUGCCUAUUAUGAUCAAGACUUCGUGGGAAAGUGGGCAGUUACUAGCUAGUUAUUAUCAGGUGGCGUCUUGUCUUCUUCUUCCCACGAUUUCGAGUCUUUCUAAGAAAUUUAAAAAGACCUCAGCUCCUGUUUACUCAAAACCUAACUUCUUCAGACCUUGAUUUUCCUCAGUUUUCUCAGAAUUUUUACCCUUUUCUGCGAUCAAACCCUGCUUCCUUUCAGUUUGAUUCCCCUAUCCUAGCUCAAAACCCGAAAAUGUCUUCUCCAAAAAAUCGUGCCCAGACUUCUUCUUAUUCUGUUCCUCCUACCUACAUUACUGGGGCCGGUGUUGAUAAGCAUGUGAUUGAAGUCCGGAGCAAGCUUCAUCCUUUUGCCCAGAACGUUCUGGACAAGAACGUGUUACAUUUGUUCGAGAACACUCUUGUUUUGGAGCCUCAUCGGUUUGGUUCUGUCCCGACUGAAAUGGCAGAAUUGUUUAAAGAAUAUACUGAAGCUCCUCUAUGCUUUCAGAGCUCUUUCGUAGAUUUCAGUUUUAUAUAUAAACUAUCGUGUUUCUCCCUAUAACAUGUCGUUUUUAAGAAUUGUUGUCAAUGUUUUAUUUCCUGCUACUAUAAGACGGCGAUUAUUUAUACAUAUGAGACGUGUAAAUUAGAAUGAGACGUCAGUCUUUGGGAUUUAAAUUAAGUUUUUACGAUUUAAUGUCAUUUUAGUUCAUAUAAGGACAUAAAUGUCCUAACCAAAAAUAUAUUUAUGUACAUUGUCAAUAAAUUAAAAUAAACCUAAACAUUGUUAAAAUAAAUUAGAUCACUUAUUAUUCUGUAAUUACUUGUUAACGAAUUCAGCCCAUUCCAACCUGACUUCGUCAAUAUGUUCUUAUACAUACUGAACUGGUUCCUUUUUCUUAUCAAACUGCAAAUAAAUAACAAAAACCAACGUGUUAUAAAGAUUACAACGACUGCUUUUAAAGAAAAAGUUGUGGUACUAAAAUAAAGAAUUUAUAUCUUAAGUUUUGCCUUUUACCUUCUUCUCAAAUGCUAGGCCUGGAUCAUGAAUUAUAUCUCUCAUGAAAUGCAUCACGUAAUAGCCACACUCUACAUUUGUUGGUUGUCGAGGAGUGCCAUGUAGAUUUUUCCAUAUGACUGAUUUACAUGAUGAUUAAUUGCCUGUGUGAGAGUUAUACAUUUUGAUUGAACUGUUUCAAGAAAAUGAAAAGUGUUAAUGAUAAAAAUAAAAAUCUAAAGCAAAAAUAUUAAACGUCGUGGUAAAUAAGUGAAGACGAUGGUUUUGUUAAAAAAGUGAUGUUGUAUUUCAUUUCAAACGUUGGUAAAUAAAAACCGUCGUUGUGUAGAAUUCUAACGUCGGUGACGAUGAAAAAUGACGUAUAACCAAAAAUUGUUUGUAAAUGAAAGUUGAACAGAAAAAAAUAAAACUUCCUUAAAUGAAAAACACAAACGACGUGGUAUUUCAAUUAAAAUGACGGUUUACAGAAAAUACUGACGUUGUAAAUGAUUUCAAACAUCGGUUUGAAGUUACCAUCGUGUUUUCAUUGUAACGUCGGUAUUAGAAAAAGCCGUAUAUCAUUCAAAUGCAAAUAAAAAAAUGUUAGAUUUUCAUAGAUAAACUUACAUAUUCACUAUAUUUCUCAUGUCCUCGUCAACAACGCGGUUUGGCAAUGAAUCCAUGUAAUAGAUAGUCUCCUUCGCUGGUCUCACAAUUAUUAACACCCAAUGACCCCUACACAUAAUGAUCCAUAUAGGUUAAAUAUACUAGAAAGAAAAAUAGGCAUCAAGUAUAGUUAAGGGGACUAACCUUGGAUUACAAGGCACCAUGUAAAAUUGAUCCCCAUUUGCGUUUUUCAGGCGGUCUGAGAGAUGUUUCAAACGGUAAGAUAACGUUCCAGAUUGAGAGCUGACUUGUCCAAGGUCCACGAAGCCAAUAAGGUUUACCAUAUUUUCUAUUUUUAAAUAGUCAAAUAGGCACCUAAAUAUAUGAAAUUCAAUUAAAUGAGAUUUUAACUUUAAAGAAAGGAAAUGUAUAAUGCAAUCACUGUGGAUCCAAUCUCAACCAUGGAAGGAAAUUGUAAAAUAUCUUCACACAAGAGGAAGGUAUCAUGGUUAAUGCCAAAGGCUUCCUCUGGAAUGUGAAUUCUAAUGGUCUCGUUAAUGGGCUUCAACUUGGUCUCGACAAAUUGAAAUAAGGCUAACAGAGGAGGUGGCAUGUCUAGCUUUGAGAGAUCCUGUUACAACAAAUAAAUAAAGAAAUAUAAGUUAGUUUGUACACUAAGUAAAAUAAACGACUCUAACUAAACCAAUCAAACCGACGUGGUAUAUAAUAUAAUCGACAGUUUCUAGAACAUACUGAAGGAGUAAAGGUUAUAGACGACGGUAAAGACAUAACCAUCGUUAUGUAAAUGUUCUAACGUCGCUGCAUUAUGGAAAGGUCGUCUAAUUAAAAUGCAGUGAAGCCUUUAUUGAAAUACACGACAGUUUAUAAAAUAAACACCGACGUAGUAAAAUACUGAGACGACGGUUAUCAGCAACGUCUAUUUGAAAUUAUAAAUCAGAAAAAAUCAAAUAUCAAAGAUUUUACCGUUUCAUCUUGCCAUUGUUUAGCAACAUCAGCAUCAUUCGUGGGAUUUUCUUCCUCCAAAACAAGGGGUCUCACAUUAGAGCAGCUUGCUUUGUCAGACAUUAGAUUUUUUGGAGUAAUUGGAGUUUUAUUGAGCAAGUUGGGAUCACAGUUGGGAAUUAGUUGACUGAAUUGUUUCAAUAAAAUUUCCCUCUCUGCUCUGACUGCCUCCAAAACAGUUUCUUUUGCCUUAGCUUUAAUCUUUUUGGUUUCUUCUCUCACUGCCUCCAUAACACUUUCCUUCAAUUUGUUAGCAAAUUUUACUCUCUGCUGUCUCGACAAAUUGAAGAAUUGAGUUGGGGAAACCCCAGCUCCAACACCUCUAACUCUCCCACCAUGCUCAGGGGUUCCCAAAGCCAAGGUCAAAAUAUCGUUGCUCUCAGAGACAGCAGAGUGCCCUCGGAAACUUGUUUUUUCAAAUCAUCCUAAAAGUGAGAGAGAGAGAGAGAGAAUGUUAGUGAGUGAACAGAUAGUAAAACAGAUUAAAUAAACAACUAUACAAAAAUAUUAACCGACGUGGUAAAGACUUUAAAAAACUGAAAUCAAUCCCCAAUAGUAACAGGGACCAUGCAGCAACGAUUUGGUUGACAGUAGUAUAGGUUGGAGAUGCUGUUGAUCAUUAGAUACUAUUUUUUUAAAUAUCAAUUCUGUAACAUCCAGACCUAAAAAAUUAAUGAUUUUGAUUUAAAAUUAAAUUUAAAUAAGCAAUUACGAAUUUACCCUUGGGGAAGGGGUAUUUUGGUAUUUUUUUUUUAUUCAGAAAGAGUUUGGGGCAGUGACUAGUAUUUUUGGGUAGAUCGUACUGAGACGAAUCCGUAGACACGCGGUAGGCCUGAAUCGGAGUUGUAACGAAGAAACGGUGACCAAAAUUAGUCCAGUGGCAAACUUGUAAAUAUUUUGAACUUGGGUGUAGAAAAAUCUGAAACUGGCUUCCUCUCUCCUGCGUGCACACGUCCUUCUCUCUCUCUCCUCUCUCUCUCCUCGAUACCAUCACUCUCUGUCUCUCUCUUCGAUUCUCUCAAUUCUGGCCACGGCAAGGGCCGGGACUGGUUCCGAUCAACUCCUCACAAAGCCCCGAACCAGAACCACCACUUUUCUUGGCCGGAAAGCUCGAGUUUCGCGUGGUAAUCUCGACUGGUUUGAACCAGUUUUCCUCCGUCAUUGUGCCGCCGCCAUCGCAGCCCAAUCUCGGUUAAACAAGUGAGGUUUCUUACUCUUUUUCCGAGCUCUAGCUGCCUGUUGGGUAGGAUUGGAUUGAUUUUUUGUCUAGGAUCCCGAUUUUGAAACCUAAGUUUUGACGAAUUUCAAAGUGAAAUUCCGGCCGGUUGCCGUCCUAAUUAGACCUCCCCGUAGUUGAAUAAAGUGAUCCUCGCUUCGAGUAGUAGCUAAGGUAGGAAUGGUGAAUUGCGGUGUGGAGUUUUUCCAUCACUGAAAAUUACUCUACACAUCCACGCGUUGCCAGGGCAUGUGGAGGCGCAUGGGCAAUGUGGUGAGACCACAUUUUAUCCUGAUGUAGUCUCCUAGUCCUCACGUGCGCGUAAGUGUGCUCGAAUUUCAAUUCGAAUGUUGUUUGACUAUCGAACGGAUUUAUGCAUAUUGUUUCUUAUCCGGGUUCAAUAUGUUCGGACCAUUGGAUCGAGUCCAAAUUUACGUAUGUUAAUCUAGGCACCCCUAGGAUCAUGUGCGAAUUCGCGGAUCGUGAAUCGGAGCCCCGAAUGUUCCGAUUCAAUAAUUUGAAGUUUAUGGUUUGCGAUAACCGUCAAUUUCUGACCAAACCUACAGGACGUGUUUCCUAAACCCGUAGUCGGACCUUAGAAUACUCGUUAUGCGUGCACGCACCGGGAACUUGAGAAAAUUAGUAUUUAAUUUGUAAAUUCCGUUUUGAAGUGAUUUUUUAUUAAUUAAGGGUGCGUAUCUCGAAAUAGGUGCUCCAUCACUAGCACGCAGCAGGUAGGACCCUCUUGAGGUCAGGCAGUGUGGGACUACUUGUGAGUGGACAUUUAUUUUAUAUAUGCAUUAUUUUCAAUGAUUGAAAGAAUAUGCAUGAAAUAUAUAUAUUUUUUGGAAUAAAGAUUGAGAAAUUCAUAUGUUGUUAUAUCAGUAUUAUUUAAUUUAGAAUUUGGUUUGAUUUGAUGAUGAGUUAUAUAAAGGUCAAGUUAUUCGUGAUUAAGUCUUGGAUGAAUUUUGGGGGAAUCGGGAAUUGAAUAUUAUGGUUUAUGGUGGGAACUUAUAUGAUUACACUGUGUGGAGUACCAUCCCCUAGUUACUAGGCUUCCCACAUGUGGCGUUGGAAAUUUUCCAGCGUGUGAUGAUGUAGUCUGCACGCAUAGGACUUAGUAUUGGAGCUACACGUGGCGUUGGAAUUUCCGGCAUGUAAGCUAUGGAGUUUCGUCCCCCGGUUGGACCGCUCAUCCCUAGACGCAGGAUAGCAACUGAAAAUCUUGCGGGUUAGCCAAACAAUCCCCCGGUUGGAUUGUUUCCCCGGUACCUAAGUAGUGUGAUAAAUAUUAUGUAUAUUUAUAGAUAUAUAUAUUUCUAUGUGUGUGUGUGUGUGUGUGUGUGUGUGUGUGUGAGUAUAAAUCAGUUAAAGUAUAUGUAGUGGUUGGGUAAGAGCAGUAUAAAUUUUGGGGAUAAAGUUUAUGGAUAGAGUGAUUGAUCUCAAAGGGUUUCGGAGAAUGAUGUUUUUGAUCAUUAAAUAAAAGUUAUGAAUCUGCAUGUCUUGAGCAUUAUUUUUAGACGGUGGGGUUAUUAUGUUGUUUUGAAUGCAAAUUUUGUUUUUCCACUCACAUGUUUUCUGUUUUGCGCCCCCCAAACAGUAGUCGCUCAAGGGAGAGUUGCAAGCCAUGUUCGAGGCCCCGAACUGUGAACAUCAGUAGAUUAGGUUUCGAGUAAUUUCUUUCUACUCAACUGGAUGUUCUUGUAAACUAAAUUCGUUAGAUGCUCUAUUAUUGCCCCUGUUAGGUUUUACUUGUGAGGCCAGAGGCCAUUUAGUUUAUACUGUUGAAUAAUAAAUGCAUGCUGCUGGUUGGGAUUAUAUUGUGCUUAUGCAGGUUGAAAUUUUUGGGAUUGUUCAAUUUACAUGGGAGACUCUAGCAAAAUUUUAGUAGAGAGUCUCGGUUUUUAAUAAGUGGGCCAGGCAUCGGGGUAAUGUCGGAAAUAAGACUGGAUUCGUCCCGGUUUCCGAAGAAUUCGAGGCGGGUCCUGUCAAGUUCCUCCUAUUAACAAUAAUAAAUUAAAUAUUUAUAUAACUGAUAACAGUUCCUCAUAUUAACAAUAAUAAAUUAGUAUUUUGUAUAAUAAACAUGUUUAAUGAAAUUCAUCUUCUUCUAGCAUGUUUAUUUAAAUUCUAAGUUUUCUGAAGAAAAAAAAAAAAAAAAAGGAGAAGGAAAUGUCCUAAAUUAAAUCUUAAAAGUUCAUUUUUUUCUGUCCCUAUAUAUUUUUUACCCAAUUAUAAUUUGAGAAAAAAAGGUGAAUUAACUGUCAUUUCACCUUCAUCAUUUUCAUGAUUUAUAUAAGAUUCUUCAAAGAUCAUUUCCACAAAAAAUUACUUAAAUUCGAAUCCAUUUAACCGUCUAAUUAAAUCGUUAGGACCGUUGAAAUAAAAUUUAAAGUGAGUUUAAAGUGAGUCCUACUAUGUCUCCCUCAAAUAAGAUCAUUUACAGGAUCUGUCGAGUCAUAUGAGAAUGUUUAGCUUUUCGAUCCCAAGAGUUUGGUUCGAUUUUCAUAUAUAUAUAUAUAUAUAUAUAUAUAUAUACAAGUCAAUUUACUUUAAAAAGUUCACCAAAUUUUAUUUUUGGUCUCGGUAGUUUGCUUGAGGGCCUUUUUCUGUCAAUCUAUUUGUUGUGAUUGAAAGAUUUUAUAUAAAACAAAAGAUAUGUUUUUAUCUUAAAAAAUGCUUAUUUUCAGAUCUUUACAUAUAGACAUACAUAUGGCCUGAGAAUUCAAGCAAUAAAGACAUAAGCUGAUGAGCAUUCAUAAUCAUUAGAAUGAGUACUGAAUGGUCAACUCUUUCAAAAUACUUCGGAAAAAAACAAAGGACAAUACUUCCUUCCUUACUCAUAAGAAGGAACUCCUUCUCACCUUCUAUUGUCCCUCAACCACAAAGUAACAAGUGUUCUCUUUUUUUAAUUGUCAAUUUUUUUUUUUUCACUUUUACUGAACCCCUAGCUUUUUACCAAAGCAAAAAACACAAAACAAUAUUCCCAUUGUUUUUUUUUUUCAUUUUGAUUUUUUUCUCAACUUUUUGAAAAAUAACAUUUUUCCUUCUUCAGUAAAAAAUUGAAGUCUUUGUGGUUAAAAGCUAAGGUUUCAGUAAAGGUUUAAAAUAAAUAAAAAGUUUUGACAAUUCAAAAAACAGAACACAUAUCACUUUGUGGUUGAGCCGCAAUAGAAAGUAAGAAAGAAUUCCACCUUACCCAUAAGGAGGGAAGUAUUGUCAAAAAGAAAACAUCUUAAAAAACACACAGAAAACCCACCAUCACUACUUAAAAGAAGUAGAGAAGUCCAACAUUCUGAUUUUUAUACACCUACGUGACGUGAGCAUUCAAUAAUCAUCCUACACAUAUGUUGAUGUGAGCAUUCAAAAUCAUUAGAAUGAUUUAAUUGAAGACUCAACGUACGGACGUCUUUUUCACUUAGAUUCCCUUCCUGUACAAACUUGAAUCAGUUCCUCCACGACCCCAUCAAUCUCUUCAUCCUCUUUCUUGUUCACGUUGUCGCUUAUUUUCAAUGCCUUUUUUCUCACUCCCUCUCCAAAUUUCUCCACAACCACAUCUCUAAUCACCUUUGCGACCUCUUCUCUUUGCAAACUUCCUUCACCUGUUCUCUUAACCUCCACACCAACACCCACCUCCUCCACUAGUCUAGCGUUGAUCGGCUGGUCAAGAUGCAUAGGCAUGGCUAUAAUUGGAACACCAAACUUGAUGCUCUCCAACACUGAGUUCCAUCCGCAGUGACUCACAAACCCCCCAACACUAGAAUGCUGCAGUAUCUUUGCCUGUGGGGCCCAACCCUCCAUUAUCACUCCCUUCUCUCCCACCCUCUGUAAAAACCCUUCUGGUAACACCUCUUCAACCCUAGUACUUCUCUCCUCCUUAGAAAAUCUUAUAACCCAAAUGAAGCUCACUUUGCUAAGCUCUAAUCCGUGAGCUAUCUCUUCUAUUUGCUCCUUGGACAGAAAGUACUCACUGCCAAAGCAAACAUACACAACAGAAGACCUUUCCAUUUUGUUCAGCCAUUUCAUGAUCCAUGUUUCCUCAUCAACUUUUUGAUCCAUUGGCUCUUGAACAAGCGUGCCAACAGGCACGAUCUUCUUCCCCGUUAAAUCAGAGAGAUAAUCAAUAUAUUUUUCUUCAAUCUCGCUGGAUGUCUUGACCAAAAUGAUGUUACAAGAUCGAGCACUGCAUUGCUGAACACGGUCUCCGUCUUUGAUGCCAUUUGCUGAAGAUUCCAACAAAUUGUUGAACUUUUCAGCUUCGUAAUGUUGAAGAUAAAUCGAAGGAAAAGGAAACUUGACACUAGGGUUCUUGAGAUGUUGAAUACUAAAUGAAGUAAAGGCAGCACCCAUGGUGGUGAAUUCAAUGGAUGGAAAAUUUUGCAAUGAAGCUAGAGAGGGCGCCCAUGGUUGAAGAACAUCAUAUAUGAGCAAAUCUGGACUUAGGGUUUUGAGGAUGUUGGAGAAGUUGUUGCUGGACAUGCUGAAAGCCGUUUUGAGAGUGGACAUGAGAUGGGGAGGGAGGCCAUUGGUGGUGUGGUAGUGCGGUGGGAGUUCAGGCAAGUCAUCAUGUGGAAGAUGGAGUUCCACAAAUUCAAUGCAAUGAGAAUAUUUUUGGGAGAGUUUAGGCUUGAUGGAGCUGAGAUUUACAGGCGUGGAACAAAUAAAGAUGUGAAAAUUUCUCUUGGUGGUCAGCUUCUUGGCUAGCUCUAGGUAGGGAGAUAUAUGGCCGUGAGCUAGCCAUGGAAGCAAAAGAAUAGUAAGGCUUCUUUGGUCAGAGAAAACCAUAUUUUGUUUUCCUUUGACUUGUUUUCCUUUGACUCUUUUGCUUGAGGUUGCUCGAUUAUAGGCUUAUUGGUAGUUUGUUUGUGGCUAGCUCUAUGCAUAUAUAUAUAUAUAUAUAUAUAUAUAUAUAUAUAUAUAUACACACACAAAAACGCGUGAUGAUUGGAACAUGCACACGUAAGUUCCAGAGAGUGAUGAUUGGCCUAUGAUAAAGACUCGAAACAAGAAUAGUUUAAAUUUUCUUCUUUGUUUGGCUUGAUAUAAGACGAAUGCACCAAACAAACCGACUAAAUGCCGACACAAUAAUUAGGUACGUAAUAAUAUCAACUUUCAUUAUAUAGAUCUGAGAAACAAAAAGUUGAACUUUGAUGACAAGCGAUAUUAAGGAAGGGCACAAUCGAACUUAGGAUCUCGAAUGUUGAAGUACAUGCUCUUAACAACUUGAGCUAUAAGGUAUUUGUAAUGACAAUUUAUGGUUUUAAUUAUACUUUUGAAUAGUUGCUUCCUUCUCUUUCAUUUUUAUUUUUAUUUGUUUAUAUUUAACUCUAAUUUUAUUUAUAUUUCUGGUCAAGGUAUAAAGACUUUGAAUCUCUCUCCAAUUAUUUUUCACAGCCGAAACUCCUUUAGUUUCCACAAAUCUUUUUAAACAUUUCAGGCAUAUGUAUGUUUCCGAGUCGGAUGGUUCACGUAACCAAGAAAUUUAAACUUGUUUUUGUUUGUUCCUCCGAAGAAAGCACAACAAAAGGACAACCUACAACCAAUACUUCUCAUUGAAUUUGUUGCCGUGAAUGAUUAGGACUCUGCCCAAACUAGUAGUUGCGUUUCUGAAUUGUUUGAAAACACAUAUCAAAUUAUGAUUUCUCCUCCCCGAAAGAAAAAUUGACGUAGAAGUAUCAUGAUCUUGAUGACACAAAUUAGAAUCUAGGGUUUUCGAAGUGCCUAAUGGACAACUACUUAUUUAGAAAUAUAUAUAUUUUUGUGGCUAAAAUUUAAAUUUAUUAUAUAUAUUCUCAAUGCAGAAACACAUAAAUCUAAGUUCGAAUUCAUCCUUUUUUUGUUUUUUUUUUUUUGUUUUUUUAACCCAGAAGAAAAAUUGAGUCCCACUCUGCUGUGUAGAAUGCGCGUUUAGUAUAGAUUUUUUUAUUUUUGAGUCUCUUAUCUGGUUCCCGAGCUUCUACAUUUAGGUCUCGUGUAUUUAUCUGCAUUUUCUUAAAUCUAAAUCACUCAAACAAUCUAACCACUUAACAAAUGACACGUACUCAAACUUAAAAUCAGAAUGGAUGGAGUAGAGGCUUACACCGAUGAUUCUUGGUCAAGACUUGAGAGACAGAUGGAGACGAGGCAUGACAUAAAGUCUGAAGAAGAGAAACGAGGAAGCUUCAUUUAGAUGGUGGUGUAAGUGCAUACGUAAAGUCCAGAUUCAACAGGAAAGCAUCUUAAACGUAAAGAAAAUAAGUUUACCAGAAGCAAAAGAGAUACUGAAGUAAUUGUUUAUCAACUGAACUUAAACGAAAUAUUAACUCUUUGUUGUGCCAUAAGCACAAGAUCUUAUGAAAAAAAAUUCAAGAUAAACCAUAUAAUAUUGGGAGAUUCACGUUUAUACCGAAUAUAGGAAUUCAAAUUAUAAAAUAAAUAAAUAAAUAAAAUAAUCGAUAUGAAAUGGACUUUAGAAACACACACAAAGCCUAUUUACAACAUAACAAAAAGGUUUUUCCCUUCUUUUAAAUUACAAAACUGCCAUUGAUUUCUUAAAACAAACCCAACUCCAAAACCUCAUUAAAAAAGCACAAAACACUCAAUAGGGUGUCAAAGUAAUUUAAUAAUAAAAAAUAAAUUCAAUAAGGCCAAUUGAAUUUUUUGGAUUUUUUUUUGGGUUUGUUUAUAGAAAUUAAUGGUGUAGGGUUUAUCUAUAUUAUUGGUGUUAAGAAUGAAUAAUGACUAAAUAUCUCUAUAAUAUUUUCUAACUCACAAAAUAAUAUAGAAAAUAAAUGCAAGAACAAGAAAAUAGCAAUAUGCAAUUUAACGAAGCUGCUUACAAUCAGUGCAAAUGAGCAAACAAAUUCGCUAUUAAUUUAUGAAGUGUUUUUGUAUUUACAAUACCGCCUCUUGAAUGUCCACCAUACAAUAAUAUAGUUGCAUCAUUAAAAACUUUACUUGAAAAAUCGUUUGGGACAAAACUUAAGCUAAGAGAAAAAGAGUGCAACACAAAUGAUAUUGACAUCACAUAUGUCUCUCCUACAGAGUGAGCUUUGGUGAUGCUUGUAUAAAAAUUGCUUUCACAUCAUUAUUGGGAGAUGUAUGUAUGUCAUCAAUCAUUUGAAUCUUGUUGAGGUUAAAGUAAAACCAAAAAAAUAUCAAGGGCCAUUUUCAUAUAGUUUUUCACAAUAAAAAUUAACAAAAUAACUUCAUGUUCUUUAAUAUCAUCAAAAAAAUAAUAUAAACAAACUCAUAGUUUACCUUUUCAAUGAUAAGUGUUUGGAAAAUUUACAUGGAAUAAUAUUUGGUAUGCUAUGCUAGCAUCUCAUAAGCUCUUCAAGAGACCUAAAUUUUAUGAUAACUUCUUAAAAAAAUUUGAAUACUUUUCAACAAUAUUAAACUUGAAUUCAAACUCAUAAUUCAAUCAAAGUACUCAUUGAGGCAAUUUAGAUCAUUUUCAUUUUAAGAAAAUUGGGUGCAUACAUUGAGCUUCAUGCCCUUUACCUUCUUAGAGAUUUUCUUCGAGCAAUUUAUAUUGCAUGACAGAUUAUAUCUCUUAGAAUUUGUUCUUAUGUAUUCUUCAAGAGAUCUCUUCUUGCAAUAUGCUUCAAACACUUCAUAAUCUUUAUAGAUUUUUCAUGUAGAUUUAAGGUCUCCAUGAAUAUUGAGAUUGAAACAAGGAGUAAAAUAAAAGUUUAAGAAAAAUUUUCCCUGAUUAUUUUGUAAUUAUAAUGUUGGUGAAAACCUAAUUUCCUUUCUGAAAUUUGUGAAAUUUGUUAUUUGGCUAAGCUAAAAGUAUAAUAUUGACAAUAAAACGUAUACGAAAGUUUCUCUUUGGCUGGCUUCUUGGCUGGCUCUAGGAAGGGACAUUGCGGCCAUGAGAUAACCAUAGGAAGCAUAAUAAGAAUGCUUGGAUGCUCUGAACAAUCCAUUUUCUGACUCUUUUUCUUGAGGCGGUUGUUUUCUUAGGCCCAUCAGAGUUUAUGGUCGACAGAUAAGCUUCAAACACAUGCAUUGGUCGUGUCAGUUGCGAUAAACUCUUCCCAACAAUCUGAGACUCACAUCACUCCAAACACAUAAAAAGAAGUGGAAAUUUGCUAUUCUUUGUCUUUGUUUGGACAGCUAAUAGCAAAGCAUUGGAAACAUCGAAAAAAGAAAGUUAAUUAAUUUAAGAAAAACAAAGAAAUCCUUCUUUUUUUUUCUUUUUUUUUUCAGCAAACCGAAACAUAAAAUCCGAAAAAGAAGAAGGCAUGUCCAAAAUUACAUCUUGAAUUUAUUUUGGAGAUUCACUAUUAUACUCAAAUUAUAUAUGAAAUAAAUUUUAGAAACACACAUGACGCCAAUUUACAAUAUAACAAAAAAACUUUUAACUUCUUGUAAAUUACAAAAUUGUUAUCGAUUUCUUAAAACAAGCCUAAUCCUAAAACCUCAUAAAAAAAAAAUCAAAACACUCAAUAAGGCAUCAAAGUAAUUUAAUAAUUAAAAUUAAAUUUAAUAGGGUCAUCUGUCAUUUUUUGGAUUUUUUUCGAAGUUGUUUAUAAAAAUUAAAAUAAUGUAUAGUUUGUUUAUAAAAAUUAAAUGAUGUAGAGUUUCUUUAUAUAAUUAAUGUUAAUAAUGAGUAUAUGAAUAAAUGUCACUUUUCUUUAUUAACCAUUUAUAAUAUAUGAACUCAAGACUUCCUAUCGAACACCGAAUGGUCUUUCCAUUCCUUGUUAAUUCAAAGUCUGAAAAUGUUCGGUGUCAGCUCAUGAAUUUAAAGGCUUAAAGGCUCAAAACUUGAACGAAUAUGAAAGAAAAAAGUCGUUCACCGUUCAUCCUCUUCCUGCAGCUGUGCAUGCUAAUCACCCACUGAAUUAAACAUACAAAUACGCUUUAUGUUUUCUCAAAUUGUUCUUUGAACUAAGUAGAGGUUGGAAUACACUCGGGGUCAACAUUGUUCAAAUACAAAACACUUCUUAAUUUUAUAUUUUAUCAAAACAGAUCGAAACUUCAUUCAAACUGAGAACCUAGAUUACAAAACUACCAGAAAAACUGGAAUCUGCACUGUGGCCUCAUUAAAACCUUGCUUUAAAAAACUCCUAAAAGAGGAGAAUUCAGUCAAGAAAAAAGAGUACCACAGCAAGUGAAAUCCGAUAUCAUACUUCAUUCCUUUCUCAUACAAAGUUGAAUCAACUGCUCUACCACCCCAUCUAUCUCUUCAUCCUCUCUCUUUUUCAUGUUGUCUCUCAAUUCCAUUGCCUUUCUUUUCAAACCCUGUCCAUUUUCUUCCACCACCACAUCUCUGAUUACUUUUGCUAUCUCGUCCCUUUUCAGCCUCCCGUUCUCGUUGCCGCCUCCUCCCAUUCUCUUAACCUCCACACCAACUCCAACGUCCUCUACUAUUCUAGCGUUAAUAGGCUGGUCAAGAUGCAUAGGCAUGGCUACAAUUGGAACGCCAAACUUGAUGCUCUCCAACACUGAGCUCCAUCCACAGUGGCUCACAAACCCACCAGCACUAGAAUGCUUCAAUACUUUUGCCUGUGGAGCCCAACCAUCCACUAUUAUUCCCUUCUCCCCCACCCUCUCAAAAAACCCUUCUGGUAAUACCUCUUCAACCCUAGUACCUUUCUCUUCCUUAGGAAAUCUUAUAACCCAAAUAAAACUCACUUUGCUAAUCUCUAGCCCAUGAGCUAUCUCUUCUAUUUCCUCCUUGGAUAAAAAGUACUCACUGCCGAAGGAAACAUACACCACCGAAGAUCUUUCUCUAGUGUUUAGCCACUUCAUGAUUUUUGUUUCCUCCGAAUCCACUUCUUGCUCUAUAAGGUCUUGAACAAGUGAACCAACAGGCACAAUCUUCUUCCCAAUUAGAUCAGAGAGAUAAUCAAUAUAUUUUGCUUCAAUCUCUCUAGAACUCUUAACUAAUACGAUCUUACAAGAACGAUCGCUGCACUGCUUAGCACGGUCUCCAUCACUGAUGCCAUUUGAUGAAGAUUCUAACAACAUCUUGAUCUUACUAGUCUCGUAAUAGAUUGAAGGAAACGGAAAUUUGACACCAGGUUUCUCGCCAUGGUGGGUACAAACUGACAUCAUGGCAGCACUGGUUGUGAAGAACUCGAUGGCUGGAAUGUUUUGUAACAAAGCUAGAGAGGGUGCCCAUGGUUGAAGAAAAUCAUAAAUUAGCAAAUCCGGGUGUAGGGUUUUGAGGAUGUUGGAGAAGUUAGGGCUUGCCCUGUCGAAGGCGGUUUUGAGAGUGGACAUGAGGUGGGGUGGGAGGCCAUUGGUAGUGUGGUAAUGAGGUGGGAGUUCAGGCAAGUCGUCAUAUGGAAGAUGUAGUUGCACGAGUUCAAUGCAACGAGAGUAUUUUUCAGAGAGUUGUGGCUUGAUGGAUCUGAGAUUUACAGGUGUGGAACAAAAAUAGAUGUGAAAAUUUCUGUUGGUCAGCUUCUUUGCUAGCUCUAGGUAGGGAGAUAUGUG
rnacentral:lncRNA from 1 species